AGUGAACGCUGGCGGCGUGCCUAACACAUGCAAGUCGAACGGGCUAGUGCUUCGCACUAGUCUCUUUCUGGGGUUGUUACUCUAAGGCUACCUGCUAAAGUUAUUGCUUUAAAGCAGGGGUUUUAGGAGACUUUCCCCGAAAGGGGCCAGUGCGGAGCACUGGCCAGUGGCGAACGGGUGAGUAACACGUGGGUAAUCUACCCUCGAGUGGGGAAUAAGCUUCCGAAAGGGGGUCUAAUGCCGCAUAACGUUUCAUAACGAUGGUUAUGAAACCAAAGCCCAAAAGGCGCUCGAGGAGGAGCCUGCGUCCUAUCAGCUUGUUGGCAGGGUAAUGGCCUACCAAGGCUAUGACGGGUAGCCGGCCUGAGAGGGUGUCCGGCCACACUGGAACUGAGACACGGUCCAGACUCCUACGGGAGGCAGCAGUGGGGAAUUUUGCGCAAUGGGGAAACCCUGACGCAGCGACGCCGCGUGGAGGAUGACGGCCUCGGUUGUAACGUACCUGUCAGAGGACGAAGUACCGCAGGACG
rnacentral:rRNA from 1 species